GCCAUUCGGCACAUCGGGUGCAUUUAUAAUUUAAGCGUUUUUACGGCUUAAAAUUAAAUUAAUUAAUUACUUUUCGAAUUGGAGCAAUAAUGGACAGAAAUAGCAUAAAGAAUCAGAGGGAAAAAGAUGAAAAAUAUGUGAAAGAAAUGGAUGUAAGAGCAAGGCAGUGGGAGCCAUUCACCACGUAAAGUAUCCUUAUAAUUUCUGUUUUCGUGAAUUUUCAACGUUAUUAAAGGUAUUUCCUGGUUUGUAUUGUUUCAUUAAAUAAUUAACAUUAAUCGGAUCAAAAUAUUAUUUACAAAAAUAGAAUAAGAAAGAAGAACAUCAAGGAGUUCAUUGACAACUUACUAUCUACACUUUUAUGUACAAUGUGAUUUUUUUUAUUUUAUUUAAACAAAAUCAAUAGAAAAUAUAAUUAGUCACAAGUUUAAUAGUUGAAUAUUUAGGUGAAAAAAUGAUUUGGAAUCAUUUCUGUACUUUUUCACAUAUUCGAGGUGUAAUGCCACCAGGUUUGGCAUUGGUUGGACAGCCAACAGAUGUAAGGUUUUUUUUCCCCCCAAAAACACAACACAAAAAAAAGUCAAAUUUGUCCUAUAUUGUUUAAAAUCUUUUAUUUUACAUUUUUUUUUUCAUGAGGGGGGGGAUGGUUUUUGUUUGCUGCGGCGGGUUGAAGGUUUGAAAAUCGAUCAGGGGGGAUUAUGUAGUUAAAAAAAGAAAGAAAAAAAAA